rnacentral:rRNA from 1 species
UACAGAGGGUGCGAGCGUUGUUCGGAAUUAUUGGGCGUAAAGGGCGCGUAGGCGGUGCGGUAAGUCACCUGUGAAAUCUCCUGGCUCAACUGGGAGCUUGCAGGCGAAACUGCCGUGCUGGAGUGUGGGAGAGGUGCGUGGAAUUCCCGGUGUAGCGGUGAAAUGCGUAGAUAUCGGGGAGGAACACCUGUGGCGAAAGCGGCGCACCUGGACCACAACUGACGCUGAGGCGCGAAAGCUAGGGGAGCAAACAGG